AGAGCGCAAGGGGAAUGCCUUGGCACUAGGAGCCGAAGAAGGACGCAGCAAACUGCGAUAAGCUAUGGGGAGCCGUAAGCAGGCAUUGAUCCAUAGAUAUCCGAAUGGAGCAAUCCGGCCGGAGUCAUGUCCGGUCAUCAUAUACUGAAUACAUAGGUAUAUGAGGGGAACCGCCUGAACUGAAACAUCUAAGUAGGGCGAGGAAGAGAAAUCAACCGAGAUUCCGCUAGUAGUGGCGAGCGAACGCGGAAGAGGCCAAACCGAGAGUAGCAAUACACUCGGGGUUCGGACAGUAGAAUGUAUGGCAGAGUAUAGCAGAAUGGCAUGGGAAGGCCAAUCAGAGAGUGUGAGAAUCACGUAUGCGAAAUGCAAAGCUGGCAAACUGUAUCCAGAGUACUGCGGGACACGUGAAAUCCCGUGGGAAUACGGGGGGACCACCCUCCAAGCCUAAAUACUACCUAGUGACCGAUAGAGAAGAGUACUGUGAAGGAAAGGUGAAAAGAACCCCGGGAGGGGAGUGAAAUAGAACCUGAAACCUUGUGCUUACAAGCACCGAGAGCCCGUCAAAGGGUGAUCGGGUACCUAUUGUAGAAUGGUCCGGCGAGUUAAUGUAACUGGCAAGGUUAAGGACUAAAGGUCCGGAGCCGCAGCGAGAGCGAGUCUGAAUAGGGCGUAUGAAGUCAGUUAUAUUAGACCCGAAACCGGGUGACCUACCCAUGUCCAGGUUGAAGUGGAGGUAAAACUCCAUGGAGGACCGAACCGACUCCCGUUGAAAUGGUAGCGGAUGAGGUGUGGGUAGCGGAGAAAUUCCAAUCGAACCCGGAGAUAGCUGGUUCUCUCCGAAAUAGCUUUAGGGCUAGCCUCAUAUUAGAUUACUGGAGGUAAAGCACUGAAUGGGCUAGGGGCCGAGAGGUUACUGAACCCUAUCAAACUCAGAAUGCCAGAUAAUCAUAACCGGGAGUCAGACAGUGUGAGAUAAGUUUCAUUGUCGAAAGGGAAAGAGCCCAGACCCACAGCUAAGGUCCCAAAAUAUAGUUAAGUGGAAAAGGAUGUGGGGGUGCACAGACAACCAGGAUGUUGGCUCAGAAGCAGCCAUUCAUUAAAAGAGUGCGUAAUAGCUCACUGGUCGAGUGCCCCUGCGCCGAAGAUUUAACGGGGCUAAACUAUAUACCGAAGCUUGGGAUGCAGUAAUGCAUGGUAGGAGAGCGUUGUAUGCGGGGUGAAGUCAGAGCGAAAGCGCUGGUGGACUGCAUACAAGUGAGAAUGCCGGAAUGAGUAGCGAGAAAUAUGUGAGAAUCAUAUUGGCCGAAAGUCUAAGGUUUUAGGAGGAAGGUUCGUCCGCUCCUAGUAAGCCGGGAGCUAAGGUGAGGCCGAAAGGCGUAGCCGAUGCACAUACGGUAGAAAUUCCGUAGCCACCGAAAGAUUUAAGCAAGAGGACACCCAGAAAGAGCAUAACCCGGGCGUUGGUUGACCCGGGCGUAAGGGACUGAAAUUAGAGUAGGGAAGUAUGCGUGGACUGGGGCGAGAAAAGUCUUGUGAAUAUCUAAGGUGCCCGUACCGCAAACCGACACAGGUAGAUAGGAAGAGAAUUCUAAGGCCAACGGGAGAAGGGUAGUUAAGGAACUCGGCAAAUUGACCCCGUAACUUAGGGAAAAGGGGUGCCACAGCAAUGUGGCCGCAGAGAAUAGGCCCAGGCGACUGUUUAGCAAAAACACAGGUUUCUGCCAAAUCGAAAGAUGAAGUAUAGGAGCUGACACCUGCCCGGUGCUGGAAGGUUAAGAGGAGAGGUGCAAGCCUUGAAUUGAAGCCCCAGUAAACGGCGGCCGUAACUAUAACGGUCCUAAGGUAGCGAAAUUCCUUGUCGGGUAAGUUCCGACCCGCACGAAUGGUGUAACGAUCUGGGCACUGUCUCAACUACCCGCCCGGCGAAAUUGUAGUACCGGUGAAGAUGCCGGUUACCCGUGACAAGACGGAAAGACCCCAUGGAGCUUUACUGUAGCUUAAUAUUGGGUUUCGAUAAUUUAUGUACAGGAUAGGUGGGAGGCUAGGAAACUCUGGCGCCAGCCGGAGUGGAGCCACCCUUGGGAUACCACCCUUAAGUUAUUGGAAUUCUAACCUGCGGCCGUGAAUCCGGCCGGGGGACAUUGUUAGGUGGACAGUUUGACUGGGGCGGUCGCCUCCAAAAAGGUAACGGAGGCGCUCAAAGGUUUGCUCAGCACGGAUGGAAACCGUGCUUUUGAGUGUAAACGCAUAAGCAAGCCUAACUGCGAGGGUGACGGCCCGAGCAGUAACGAAAGUUGGAGUUAGUGAU
rnacentral:rRNA from 1 species